UCCUCGUUAGUAUAGUGGACAGUAUCUCCGCCUGUCACGCGGAAGACCGGGGUUCGAUUCCCGGCCGGGGAG
rnacentral:tRNA from 1 species